AAAAAAUUAGUUAAAAUAUAACAUUAGUAUGUCAAACUAAAAUUAUUUAAUCUUAAAUAUUUUUUG
rnacentral:tRNA from 1 species